ensembl:lncRNA
AUAGAAAGAAGAAGCAUUCACACAGGUGCUACACUCAGCUGGGACGGAACCAAUCUGCGGCUGCAGGUUUGCUACCUGCAGCAUAAAAAGGGACACACGCAGCACUGAGGAGGAAGGAAAAUGAAUGACCUCCUGAAACAAAGUGGCUGUGAGCGUGAGGAUCUGCGGCAAACUGUGCAGGACUGCCUCAUCUACAAAAAUCCGGGUAGCAGCCGUUGUCAGCCUUGGAUGAUGAGGUCCAGUUACCAGGAUCACUACUCUGCAGCUCACUGAUCCCAUCCUGCAGCUCAUCCAUGCCGUCCUCCUCUCAACAGACCAAAUCAAGAAAAACUAAGCAGGAUGCUACUGUGGAUCUGCUCUUCAGAUUAGCUCUGCUAUGAUUAACAAUCUGCCUUCAUCGCAGUCACAGCCAACGGCGACUACGUUUGAGAAGACAGAUGGUCUUAAGGCUAAAUGCGAGGCAGAGGUCAGCUGUUGCCUGGAUAUCUGGGAUCACGCCACUGGUGGGACACAAUUGUACUGGAUUUCAGCUGAAGGCUGCUGUUCUGUCCAAACUGUCAUGAGACAUUGACAUUUUUAUUGUGAAAUACCCACCACUGUUGUUAGUUUUUGUUUCAAUAAAUUGUUUGAGAUGAGG